rnacentral:rRNA from 1 species
GACGAACGCUGGCGGCGUGCUUAACACAUGCAAGUCGAACGCCGACGCACCAGCUGGUUGGUGUGGAUGAGUGGCGAACGGGUGAGUAAUACGUGAGUAACCUGCCCUUGACUCUGGGAUAAGCCCGGGAAACUGGGCUUAAUACUGUAUGCUACAUGUCACCGCAUGGUGGUGUGUGGAAAGUGUUGCCUGGUCUUGGAUGGGCUCACGGGCUAUCAGCUUGUUGGUGAGGUGAUGGCUCACCAAGGCGACGACGGGUAGUCGGCCUCUGGGGAUGACCGGCGACACAGGGGCUGAGGCGCGGCACAGGCUGCUAAGGUAGGCAGCAGUGGGGAAGAUUGAACAAUGGGCGCAGGCCUGGUGCAGAAAGGCCGCGGGUGGGAUGGCGGCCUUGGGGUUGUAGACCUCUUGCAGCAGGGAAGAAGCCAGAAGUGACGGUACCUUCAGAAGAAGCACCGGCUAACUACGUG